rnacentral:rRNA from 1 species
GAUGAACGCUGGCGGCGUGCUUAACACAUGCAAGUCGAGCGAUGAAGCCCAGCUUGCUGGGUGGAUUAGUGGCGAACGGGUGAGUAACACGUGAGUAACCUGCCCUUAACUCUGGGAUAAGCCUGGGAAACUGGGUCUAAUACCGGAUAGGAGCGUCCACCGCAUGGUGGGUGUUGGAAAGAUUUAUCGGUUUUGGAUGGACUCGCGGCCUAUCAGCUUGUUGGUGAGGUAAUGGCUCACCAAGGCGACGACGGGUAGCCGGCCUGAGAGGGUGACCGGCCACACUGGGACUGAGACACGGCCCAGACUCCUACGGGAGGCAGCAGUGGGGAAUAUUGCACAAUGGGCGCAAGCCUGACGCAGCGACGCCGCGUGAGGGAUGACGGCCUUCGGGUUGUAAACCUCUUUCAGUAGGGAAGAAGCGAAAGUGACGGUACCUGCAGAAGAAGCACCGGCUAACUACGUG